rnacentral:rRNA from 1 species
UACAGAGGGGGCGAGCGUUGUUCGGAAUUACUGGGCGUAAAGGGCGCGUAGGCGGCCUGUUAAGUCGGACGUGAAAUCCCUCGGCUCAACCGGGGAACUGCGUCCGAUACUGGCGGGCUUGAAUUCGGGAGAGGGAUGUGGAAUUCCAGGUGUAGCGGUGAAAUGCGCAGAUAUCAGGAGGAACACCUAUUGCGAAGGCAGCUCGCUGGGACGUUACUGACGCUGAGACGCGAAAGCGUGGGGAGCAAACAGG